rnacentral:sRNA from 1 species
UGAUAGUGCGAAGAUAUUUGGUGAUAAC